rnacentral:rRNA from 2 species
AAGUCGAACGAGUUCUCGUUGAUGAUCGGUGCUUGCACCGAGAUUCAACAUGGAACGAGUGGCGGACGGGUGAGUAACACGUGGGUAACCUGCCCUUAAGUGGGGGAUAACAUUUGGAAACAGAUGCUAAUACCGCAUAGAUCCAAGAACCGCAUGGUUCUUGGCUGAAAGAUGGCGUAAGCUAUCGCUUUUGGAUGGACCCGCGGCGUAUUAGCUAGUUGGUGAGGUAAUGGCUCACCAAGGCGAUGAUACGUAGCCGAACUGAGAGGUUGAUCGGCCACAUUGGGACUGAGACACGGCCCAAACUCCUACGGGAGGCAGCAGUAGGGAAUCUUCCACAAUGGACGCAAGUCUGAUGGAGCAACGCCGCGUGAGUGAAGAAGGCUUUCGGGUCGUAAAACUCUGUUGUUGGAGAAGAAUGGUCGGCAGAGUAACUGUUGUCGGCGUGACGGUAUCCAACCAGAAAGCCACGGCUAACUACGUGCCAGCAGCCGCGGUAAUACGUAGGUGGCAAGCGUUAUCCGGAUUUAUUGGGCGUAAAGCGAGCGCAGGCGGUUUUUUAAGUCUGAUGUGAAAAGCCCUCGGCUUAA